UGAAUACGAGACGCUAAGGCGUCGAAGUAGUGUAUGUCAUACUUCCAAGAAAAGCUUGCACUGUCAUAAGUAAAAAAUGCCUGUACCAUAACCGACACAGGUGGGUAGGUAGAGUAUACUAAGGGGCGCGAGAUAACUCUCUCUAAGGAACUCGGCAAAAUAACUCCGUAACUUCGGGAGAAGGAGUACCUUAUUCUAUAAGGUUGCAAUAACAAGAUCCAAGCAACUGUUUAUCAAAAACACAGGUCUCCGCUAAGUCGUAAGACGAUGUAUGGGGGCUGACGCCUGCCCAGUGCCAGAAGGUUAAAGAAGUCGGUUAGCAUUAGCGAAGCUGGUAACUGAAGCCCUGGUGAACGGCGGCCGUAACAAUAACGGUCCUAAGGUAGCGAAAUUCCUUGUCGGGUAAGUUCCGACCCGCACGAAAGGCGUAAUGAUUUGGAUACUGUCUCGGAGAGGGGCUCGGUGAAAUAGACUUGUCUGUGAAGAUGCGGACUACCUGCACCAGUACAGAAAGACCCUAUGAAGCUUUACUGUAACUUGAAAUUGAAAUUGGACUUUAUUCGCGCAGUAUAGGUGGGAGGUGUUGAUUAUAAUCUUGCGGGAUUAUUGGAGCCAUCAGUGAGAUACCACUCUUGUAAUGUUAGAUUUCUAACUUUGAAUCAUUAUCUGGUCAAAGGACAGUUUCAGGCGGGCAGUUUGACUGGGGCGGUCGCCUCCAAACGGUAACGGAGGCGUACAAAGGUUUCCUCUGAACGGGUAGAAAUCGUAUCUAGAGUGUAAAGGCAUAAGGAAGCUUGACUGUGAGACCUACAAGUCGAACAGGGACGAAAGUCGGUCUUAGUGAUCUGACGGUACUGAGUGGAAAGGCCGUCCUCAACGGAUAAAAGUUACUCUAGGAUAACAGGCUGAUCUCCCCCAAGAGUUCACAUCGACGGGGAGGUUUGGCACCUCGAUGUCGGCUCAUCGCAUCCUGGGGCGGUAGUACGUCCCAAGGGUUGGGCUGUUCGCCCAUGAAAGCGGUACGCGAGCUGGGUUCAGAACGUCGUGAGACAGUUCGGUCCAUAUCCGGUGUAGGCGUUAGAAUAUUGAGAGGAGCCUUCUUUAGUACGAGAGGACCGAGAAGGACAUACCUCUGGUGUACCAGUUAUCGUGCCAACGGUAAACGCUGGGUAGCUAUGUAUGGAGUGGAUAACCGCUGAAAGCAUCUAAGUGGGAAGCCCACCUCAAGAUAAGUAUUCUCC
rnacentral:rRNA from 1 species